UGAUUGGGGACAAGUCCAUCUUAGAAGCUUCGUGGAUGCUGUUUUGGACCUAUACUGUGUGUAUGGAAAUAUUGCAACUGGGAUAUGUAUAUUAAUGCAUCUAUAAGUCAAAGUUAUUUUAUAGCUUAUCCUUCUUAGUGGAUCAGCUCAACCUCUCAAUAGAUUUGUAUGUAAAUAUUUAGGUCGAACUAUAUAUAGGAUGUACAUAUAUAUGAGUGUAUCUAAAUAUGCAUGACCAUAAGCACAAACUAUCUUUUCAUGUCACAUGGGUUCCAUUUAUGGUAAC
rnacentral:lncRNA from 1 species